GGAAGCUUGCCUCCUUUCUCAGCUCGAGGGCUCCCUCCUCUGUUACUGCAGGGAUGUAUACUUUCUUUACCGUGCGGCGCCUCCUCUGAAUUUAGGAUCCCAACCUGGCUCAGGAGGGCUCCCACGACCGUCCUGCUCAUGGCCCUUCCCAGGCUGAGUCCUCUCCGGCGGGGGUUGAAUUUUCGCUGGGGACUGCUGGGACCUGCAUCUCCCCUGCCCCGCCAGGCCCCUGGGCAGUUUCGGGUCUCUCUUGUGAGCACGUUGGAGUGCGCUGUGCUGGUGCAGGGGUGAAGCCGCACACAGUAGGAAGCUUGUGACCGUUCUCACUUCCUCAUUUCACCGAAGAUGUCUUAGAGUCCAAGCCCUUCAUGGAGCCUCCCACAUCAAGUGAGAGAAUGCAUCUAAAACGUCCAGCAUUGUGUGCAGCGCAAAGCAGACUCUCAGCAGAACCACAGCCUUCGUGCCCCGAAUUCCUCAACUCAGAAGCGAUGGCUCCCUCCUUGGAGCUCCUUUAUCUCAUUUAAUCCAGUGGCAUCUACUUAGACUGUCACAUAUCGGAGUUAUUUGCGUUUCUCUUUUAAGUUUUCAGAUAUUGUAAAUGCCAGAAGCGAGCGCCCAGCACAGUGCAUUGUAGAAUAACCCACGGAAUGCAUAAAGAUCGGUCCUUUAGAGCUCACAGGGGGGCUGGGGGUCUGUUAGGAGCUAUAGGAGUCCUAGUGGUAAGUGAGUCCCGGGGCAGAUCCAGAGGAACCUGUAAAAGGGGGAAAGCUGAAUCAUACUUUUGCAGAACGUAGGGAUGAAUGCUGUUUGAAAAUCUAUUUAAGCCGUGACAGCCAGCCGUGGCUGAAAAAGAGCUGGGAUGACACCCCUGCCCAGACGUCUCUCUCCUUAGUAAAGACUGUUAACGUGUCCAGGCUCUGAGGGCUUGGAACUAGAAAGGAGGUGUGAGCAAUGGAAUAUUAUGCAGCCAUCAAAAGGAAUGAGAUCUUGCCAUUUGCAACGACGUGGAUGGAACUGGAGGGUGUUAUGCUGAGUGAAAUAAGUCAAUCAG